rnacentral:rRNA from 1 species
UACGGGGGGGGGCAAGCGUUGUUCGGAAUUACUGGGCGUAAAGGGCGCGUAGGCGGUACUCUAAGUCAGAUGUGAAAUCCCGGGGCUUAACUCCGGACGUGCAUUUGAAACUGGAGAACUCGAGUGCAGGAGAGGUAAGUGGAAUUCCUAGUGUAGCGGUGAAAUGCGUAGAUAUUAGGAGGAACACCAGUGGCGAAGGCGACUUACUGGACUGUAACUGACGCUGAGGCGCGAAAGCGUGGGGAGCAAACAGGG